UCUACGGGAGGCAGCAGUGAGGAAUAUUGGUCAAUGGGCUUACGCCUGAACCAGCCAAGUCGCGUGAGGGAAGACUGCCCUAUGGGUUGUAAACCUCUUUUGUCAGGGAGCAACUCCGGCUACGUGUAGCCUGCCUGAGAGUACCUGAAGACAAAGCCUCGGCUAACUCCGUGCCAGCAGCCGCGGUAAUACGGAGGAUGCGAGCGUUCUCCGGAUUUAUUGGGGUUAAAGGGUGCGUAGGCGGAAUGCCAAGCAAGCGGUAAGAUCGCGGGUCCCAACCUCGCUCCGCCGUUGAAACUGGCGUGCUGGAGUGGGCGAGAAGUAGGCGGAAUGCGUGGUGUAGCGGUGAAAUGCAUAGAUAUCACGCAGAACUCCGAUUGCGAAGGCAGCAUACCGGAGCCCAACUGACGCUGAAGCACGAAAGCGUGGGUAUCGAACAGGAUUAGAUACCCGUGUAGUC
rnacentral:rRNA from 1 species